AUGUCUAAUAUAGAUUUUUUUGUGGGAAAAGAAAAGAGAGGCUCAUCAGUGGAUAUAGAAAACAAAACCCGAUUAUCUUUUUCCUCUAAUUAGUAGCCGCUGGAAAGUCGUAAAAGAUAAGAAUGACGUCCAUCAUAUAUACAUAUUCAGGCUCGCUUGUGUGUCCAAAGAGCGGACAGAUAUUUAUUUGCGGCGAAGACAACUUUUAUAGGAGACGUUUAUUAAAUUCAAAAAUUAUUUAUGCCUCCGCUUCUUGAGCAGCGAUAUCUCGUUUACCAAGAAUUGUUACAGACUUUGGUUCCUAUUUUGUGCCUCCAGGGGGACGACAUUUUGACCUGCCAUUAAGUAAACAAUUAUACAUAAGUGGCUCAACUCUAUUCACACUGCAAAAAUAGGAGUCUUUUUUGAUAUCUUAAAAUAAGAUGUAAGAUGGAAAAAUGGUAUCUUACAUUUUAAAAUAAGAUGUUUUCUAAAGCAUCUUACUGAUAUUUAAGAUGCUUUAUACGUUUUAGCAGUGAUGAAGAUAUUUCUUCCAUCUUAGAAAAGUAAGAUAUUUUGGUAAGUUCUUUAAAGUAUCUUAAAUUAAGAUGUUUCUGUUGCAAUAAGAUGUUUAGCGAUAAGUUACUUGAGAAAGUGUCUUUCUAAAUUUAAAUUAGUAAAAAUGUUUACAGGCUUCACAGUAUACCUAUUUCCCUUUUUUCCUCUUUUUUAAAAAAU